rnacentral:rRNA from 1 species
UCGAACCAUCUAGUAGCUGGUUUCCGUCCGAAGUUCCCUCAGGAUAGCUGGCGUCGAUUCGAACAGUCUCAUCCGGUAAAGCGAAUGAUUAGAGGCAUUGGGGCCGAAACGACCUCAACCUAUUCUCAAACUUAAAAAGGGUGAGAACUCCGGCUUACUCGAACGAUGAAGCCGGAGAUCUGAUGACGGUGCCAAGUGGGCCAAUUUUGGUAAGCAGAACUGGCGCUGUGGGAUGAACCAAACGUAGUGUUAAGGGGCCUAAAAAACGCUCAUGGGACACCAUGAAAGGCAAUGGUCGCUCAUGACAGCAGGACGGUGGCCAUGGAAGUCGGAAUCCGCUAAGGAGUGUGCAACGACUCACCUGCCGAAGCAACCAGCCCUGAAAAUGGAUGGCGCUGAAGCGUUUGGCAUAUACACUACCGUUACGGGCAUGUGAGGGGUGUUUACGAGAUGUCAUUAAGCCGUAGGGAGUAGGACGUGCGCGGGGGAGAGCGC